rnacentral:rRNA from 1 species
UACGUAGGGGGCAAGCGUUGUCCGGAAUCAUUGGGCGUAAAGAGCGUGUAGGCGGCCCGAUAAGUCCGCUGUGAAAGUCCAGGGCUCAACCCUGGGAUGCCGGUGGAUACUGUCGGGCUCGAGUCCGGAAGAGGAGUGUGAAAUUCCUGGUGUAGCGGUGAAGUGCGCAGAUAUCAGGAGGAACACCAAUGGCGAAGGCAGCACUCUGGGACGUGACUGACGCUGAGACGCGAAAGCGUGGGGAGCAAACAGG